CCUACGGGAGGCAGCAGUAGGGGAUAUUGCACAAUGGGGGGAACCCUGAUGCAGCGACGCCGCGUGGGUGAAGAAGCGCCUCGGCGCGUAAAGCCCUGUCAGCAGGGAAGAAAAUGACGGUACCUGACGAAUAAGCACCGGCUAACUCCGUGCCAGCAGCCGCGGUAAUACGUAGGGGGCAAGCGUUAUCCGGAUUUACUGGGUGUAAAGGGGGCGCAGACGGGGAUACAAGUCAGGAGUGAAAGCCCGGGGCCCAACCCCGGGAGUGCUGUUGGAACUGCGUGGCUGGAGUGGAGGAGGGGCAGGCGGAAUUCGUGGUGUAGCGGUGAAAUGCGUAGAUAUCAGGAGGAACACCGGUGGCGAAGGCAGCCUACUGGAGUGCAACUGACGUUGAGGCCCGAAAGCGUGGGUAGCGAACAGGAUUAGAUACCCUUGUAGUC
rnacentral:rRNA from 1 species